CCUAGGCUCUAUGCUAUAUCCCAGCAGUGAAAGUCGCUUUGAGUCAUGGUAUGUUGAACUUCUGCGUUCCUACGAGCUGUCACCUACACAAGGGAGCCUGUCUGUCCACCUGCUAUCUGAGCUCAAAGACACUGUCACGUUUGCUGCUUACACCGUUGAUGGCCGGCUGCUGUUGACCCCCAAGAGAUACAUUUUACUGAGAGAGUGCUGAGUUAAACUUGAGAAAUAUGGCAGCCGUAUCCUCUCAAGCCUUGAAACUUCGUGUCAUUGUUGAAGCUGACAAUAUAAGCAAGAUUACACUUGACACCCGCCCUGAGUCUGUUGAUAACCUGAAAAGCAUUUUGAAGGACAAGCUCAAGUUGGAUGCAGAAUUCAGCUUGCAGUACGAAGACCCUGACUUUGAUGGAGAACUUCUCCCUAGUGGACAUUGACGAGUUGCCACAGAAAGCUACACUGAAUCUUUUCAUGGCAGAGGUGGAAACCAGUUCUAUUUCAACUACAGACACAGAGUUGCUGUCAGAUGUGUCCUCUCCAGAGCAACUUAGUAGAUGGCCGCCAGGUAUUUUUCCCGUGCCCACUUUUGCUUAUGGGGUAGAAUUGAAGCUCAGAGAAGGAAACACUGCCUUUGAAAGAAACUGAAAGUGUCUUCAGUUAUCUAGAGAUCAAAAGCAUGACAUCCUAGAGAAACUUGCAGCUACUCUUUACAGUUUCAACGCUUACCCGAGUGACAGAGAGUUAUCAAAAGCAGCUGAAGCACUUGUUUCCAAACACCCCUGCCUGAAAGAGCUUGGUUCUGAUACUGGCUGGUAUGGAUGGAAGAACAGCAUAAAAUACAAAUUGGGUAACUACAGAACCA